UGGGGAAUAUUGGACAAUGGGCGCAAGCCUGAUCCAGCCAUGCCGCGUGUGUGAAGAAGGCCUUAGGGUUGUAAAGCACUUUCAGUGGGGAGGAAGGGUGUUGUGUUAAUAGUACAGCACUUUGACGUUACCCACAGAAGAAGCACCGGCUAACUCCGUGCCAGCAGCCGCGGUAAUACGGAGGGUGCAAGCGUUAAUCGGAAUUACUGGGCGUAAAGCGCACGCAGGCGGCUUUUUAAGUCGGAUGUGAAAGCCCCGGGCUCAACCUGGGAAUUGCAUCUGAUACUGGGAAGCUAGAGUAUGUGAGAGGGGGGUAGAAUUCCAAGUGUAGCGGUGAAAUGCGUAGAGAUUUGGAGGAAUACCAGUGGCGAAGGCGGCCCCCUGGCACAAUACUGACGCU
rnacentral:rRNA from 1 species